ACUCGAGACUCUGAAUAUUCAGGAUGCGGAAUGGAGUGCAGAGUGGAAAUCCUAGAAUAGAAGUACAACUGUACAUGAGGAGGGACAUGAACAACCUCGUUCGCAGAAUGGCCUUCAUGGCGAACUGACCCAAAGAUGAUGAUGUAGAUCUUGCAGAUGAUGAACGGAGUAUCA